GAAACGUGCGUCGGGAUCCCUCCUCAUUAAGCGGGUCGACCCGUCUCCGUUCCCCAUCUCCCGUCUGAGCAUCUCUCUCACCCCAAACGACACCCACCCGGCGACGGACGCAUCCGAAGUCAGCCGCCACUACGGUGGCGAUGGCGGGGUAGGAGCGCAAGGCAAUCGAUCUGGAGGAUGGGUGGAAUUUCAAGCAGAAGGGCAAAAUCUACAACCUCAUCAAUAUCCCCGAGCGCAAGCUAGAACUGCAGUUUAGUUCUACAGGAAAAAUUGGGAGCCUUCACCAUGGCCGCCAAUAUCCAUCUACGGGUACAUCUUGCUCCCUUACUAGCUGUACAAUAUUCUAGCCUAAUGAUGUGUUUAUUAAUCCCCAAUUCAUGGAUUCUUGCUUCCUAUCCUUUCAAUUUGUUCAUGUACCAGAUUCAAGGGGCAAUUACCUCACACAUCUUGAUCUGUCAUCUCCUUUUUCCGAGUCAGGUUUGAUGAAGAUUUGGAUAACUAGAUAGAUUUAUGUGGAAAUUCUGUACACUUCGCCCGAUGAUUUUCGCGGGCAGGCGAUAGCUACAUAUGCAGCCAAAUUAAUUUACCAUGCAUGUUCUGCAAUUUUUCAUUUAAUGGUUUUAUAUCGUAUAUGGGUUAAUGAUUUCCUUAUAUAUAAAUGCUUAUGAUAAGAUUGUGUGCGUUUGUAGAUAAGGCAUCACGAAUAGCCAUAGUUGAAUAAAAGCGUCAGGUAUGAGCUACUACAUUUUUUUAAUUGAUUAUAUAUUGUGAGAAUAGCUAGAGCGCUUGUGGCCAUACUGCUCCAUGUCUUAUGUACAAUCAAUAUUGUAUCAUGAUUGCACUGUAUGCCAAGUGAAUAUGUAGUCCGCCUAGAUUAAUGUUAGGAUGCAGUAUGUGCGUUAUGAUCCCAACUAGAAAUUGGACAAGAACUGUUUUUUUGGUCCGUGAUGGUUUUUUCUCUCAGUUAUGUAAAUACGUGAAAUAUUUGAAAGGUGUUUUUAUUAUUUCAAGUAAUGCGGUAUUUAGCAAUCCCAUUUCAUAGAACUAUUUACUUCCCCAUUGCAAAAGUGUCUAUUUGACAGGUAAGAAUAGACACGGUCUAGCAUCCAUUAGAUGUGAACCCGAUUUCAGUUUUGCCAAAUGUCUUUAGAACUUCAGUCAUCACGUUAAUUAACCCUUUUUAUCUCCAUAUAUAGGGCUAUGUCUGUCAGCAUUUUCAACUUAUGAAGCCGACAAGCUAACAUUCUUAUUUAUAAAUGAAAAUAGUGAAGCCUCUCCAUGACUUUUGAGGGGAAAAAAGGUCGGCCUACAUGUUUCUUAGUUUUGAAGGAUUGCUGCCGACCGCAAGUGUAUUGGUGGUCAUCUUAAGAUCUCACCCGGAGCAGCAUCUGUUUUCUAUCUCGCUGUCACCUAUGCCUUAAGAAUUCCAGUUUAUGCAUAUUUGUUGUAUUAGUUCUCACGCUGGACAUUCAACUUAUGGUAUAUCUUCUUUCAUGAUUAAACUUUGCCGGCCGUAUAGGACGGGUU